UUUACCACAUGUGAAAAUAAGUCUGGUGUGUGUGUGUUUUGGUCGGGGGACGUUCAUCUACCACUGUGACUGGACUGAACUUCACAGCCAGAUAAGCAUCAAGAUAAGGCACCCAGAUAAGCAUCAAGAUCUGGGAGGGGAUGGCUGCCCUGCAUGCCCAGCUCCACUGACCAGGCCCAGGGAGCCCAGUGUCAACACAGAGGCUCUUAUCACACAUGUGGCCUCCAAGUUAAGAGCUGGCCAAUUUUGAGGGUCACUGUGACCUUGAAUGCUAAGCAUGGAGCAGUAACCAUAGUGGCCUGUGGCUUGGAGUCUGUUCCCCAUUUUUCUGGCACUAUGUGAGCCUCCCUGAUCUGGUGUGAUUUAAGGAAGAUAAGGAACUGGGGUAUGUCCUCCAUGUCAGAGUCUGUACUGAACUUUUUACCCAUAGGGCACCCUAGAUGUAAACCAUAAAGAAAUCACUGCCCUGGUUGUGUUUUUCCUCCUUGUAUCUCUCCUUCAUCCAGAGGUGGGGCUGCACUGACCACAGAACUGGGCUCUUCAUUUCCAAUCCCAAACACUGCUGUUCUAGAGACAAAUGUGACAGUGCAUGUGAAAACUGGAAAUGGUAAGAGAGAUGAAUGUUGCUAUUCUCCGAUAAGAUGAUUUUCACUUGUUUGGAUUUCCCCCACAGAUUCAGGACAAUCUGACCAGCCUGGACAAGGAAGGAGACUUGGGGAAAUUCUGAUGAAAGUCCUUUGGGCUGACAGGAAGCUCGGGAUCUUGGUGAAGACCUGGAGGGGUUCCAUUUUCCAUCCAAAGGAGGCAAGGCCCUGGGUGGCAUUGUUACACGGGAGGGGCCCCCAGAGCCCCCUUCAGGCAGAGGAAGGGAAGACUGAGCUGGCCUCCAUGUGGUCCUGCUCUCCCCAUCUUCCUGGGGUGGGUGGUCUCUGUUUGGGUCUGCGUGGGAGAUCAGAGGCAGUCCUGGGGUCCAGCCCUGGCCUUGAAUGCUCCCCCAGCUUGACCCUGGCCUAA
rnacentral:lncRNA from 1 species